GAUGAAGAACGUAGCGAAAUGCGAUACUUGGUGUGAAUUGCAGAAUCCCGUGAACCAUCGAGUCUUUGAACGCAAGUUGCGCCUGAAGCCAUUAGGCCGAGGGCACGCCUGCCUGGGCGUCACACGUCGUUGCCCCCCCAUCUACUCCUUCGGGAUUGCGGGGGGCGGAUGAUGGCCUCCCGUGCGCCUCGUCGCGCGGUUGGCAUAAAUGCCAAGUCCUCGGCGACGCACGCCACGACAAUCGGUGGUUGCGAAACCUCGGUUGCCCGUCGUGUGCGGUCGUCGCGCAUCGAGGGCUCGAAAAAAUUGUCGGGCUCCGGCUCGGCUUUCAACGCGACCCCAGGUCAGGCGGGGUUACCCGCUGAAUUUAAGCAUAUCAAUAAGCGGAGGA
rnacentral:misc_RNA from 1 species